rnacentral:tRNA from 1 species
AAAUUUUCAGGAAAACGGUAGUUCAUUUUAUGGGCUCCUUAAGCCUGUGGAUGACCGGGCACGGGUUGGCCUGCAGGGGGCGCAUCCUUGAUUUUUUUC